rnacentral:rRNA from 1 species
UACGUAGGGUGCAAGCGUUGUCCGGAAUUAUUGGGCGUAAAGAGCUUGUAGGCGGUUUGUCGCGUCUGCUGUGAAAUUUCGGGGCUCAACCCCGAACUUGCAGUGGGUACGGGCAGACUAGAGUGUGGUAGGGGGAGACUGGAAUUCCUGGUGUAGCGGUGAAAUGCGCAGAUAUCAGGAGGAACACCGGUGGCGAAGGCGGGGUCUCUGGGCCGUAACUGACGCUGAGGAGCGAAAGCGUGGGGAGCGAACAGG